AUGUCUUCCUCCUCCGGCAUCUCUCACCCUAGCCUCAGUGGGCAGGUCAUUGAGAAACUCUCCCGCACGAACUACGUGCUAUGGCGCACACAGAUCACGCCACAAUUGCGUGGCGCCGAUGUCUUCAGCUAUGUUCAUGGCACCUCGCCGGAGCCGGCCAAGCUCCUCGCCGCCAAGGACAAGGACGGCAAGGAGACCUUCCAGCCCAACCCUCUCCACCCCAUCUGGGUCAGGGAGGACCAGCAGGUUCUCGGCUACCUGCUGAGCAACCUCUCCAAAGAGGUGCUCCUCAUGGUGACCACGAUCACCACGGCGCAGCCGCUCUGGACGACGCUGGCGGGCAUGUACUCGUCGCAGUCGCUUAGCCGCAUCAACAACAUCCGUACCUCGCUCAUCAAUGCGCAGAAGGGCAACCAGUCCGCCACCGCCUACUUUGCCUCCAUGCGCGGUCUCGCGGACGAGCUGGCAGCGGCCCGCAAACCCAUCCAGGAUGACGAACUCAUCUCGUACAUCCUCCACGGGAUGGAUCUGGAGUACCAGCCCCUCGUCUCCGCCCUCGACACCCGUGUUAGCCCCGCCUCCCUCGACGAAAUCUUCUCCAUGCUCAGCAACUUUGACCAGCGCAUGGCGCGGUUC
rnacentral:rRNA from 1 species